rnacentral:lncRNA from 1 species
UUGGCCAGGCUGGUCUCGAACUUCUGACCUCAAGUGAUCCUCUUGCCUUGACCUCCCAAAGUGCUAGGACUACAGGAAGCUCAGACACCCGCCUCAGCACGAGGGCCUUGCCUGGCACUGCUCCCUGGGACUGCUGGGGCUGGCAGCCUGAAAGAGGGACAGACCUAUUGUGGGGGGACCAGGAGCUCUGGAUUCACUCCCACC